GGGGAGUAUGCUAGCGUUAAGCAUAAGCAUUGUAAGUGCUUUGAAGGCUUUGGCCCUUCCCCA
rnacentral:tRNA from 1 species